UACGUAGGGUGCGAGCGUUAAUCGGAAUUACUGGGCGUAAAGCGUGCGCAGGCGGUUUUGUAAGCCAGAUGUGAAAUCCCCGGGCUUAACCUGGGAACUGCAUCCGAAACUGCUGGGCUAGAGUGUGGUAGAGGGCGGUAGGAUUCCAGGUGUAGCGGUGAAAUGCGUAGAUAUCUGGAGGAACACCGAUGGCGAAGGCAGCCGCCUGGGCCACAACUGACGCUGAGGUACGAAAGCGUGGGGAGCAAACAGG
rnacentral:rRNA from 1 species